CAUUUUAAGAACUCAGUUUGAAUAUUCCAUUGAGCCUAAUGUGGUUUACACCCUUUCCGCCUGCAGCGAAAGCGCUGUCCUCGCUCUAUGGAAAUGCGCAGGUAGACUUUGCCCUCAGGCUUGCUGACAACACAGGAAGAGCAGAGGAGACUAAAAUUGCGGCUUACACAAACCGAGUCACUCGGCUUUGAGAAAAAUGGAUGAUGUUAAUAGUCGCAGAAAUGAUUACGAUGGACCUUCACCUCCACCCUACAAUCCUGACUGUGAGAAGAAAUCAUACACAGGGCAGACGUAUCAGGUGGGGAAUGGAGGUAUUGCGGUGGUGACUCCACGAUGCAGCUAUGAAAACACGGUCUACUCAGAAAGACAAGCAGCUGCUGGGGAUGAGCAGCAGUUUGACCGAGCGCCACCAGUCUACUCUACCGGCUUUCAGGACAGUGUUUUUGCAGAUUCUACGAUACGAAGAGCUUUCAUAAGGAAAGUCUACCUGACCUUGAUGAUUCAGCUGCUGGUGACUGUUGGGAUCAUCUGUGCUUUUCUGUACUGGGAUUCUCUAAAGGAAUGGACGUGGACCAACAACUGGUUCUCCUAUGCCAUGAUGGCGACGGUGACCGUACUCAUUGUGGUCUUGUCCUGCUGUGACAACAUUCGCCGUCGGGUCCCCCUCAAUUUCAUCACCCUGGGUUUGUUUACUAUUGCAGAGGGCUUGAUGCUGGGAUCAGUCACAGUGUUCUUCUCAGCUGAACCUGUUCUGUGGGCCGUGGGUGCGACAGCGUUUGUGUCCUUCUCGCUGAGUGUAUUUGCAAUGCAGUCAAAGUAUGACUUCACCAUGGCAAGUGGAAGCCUGUGGGUGUUUGGCUGGACUCUCUUUUCCUUUGGACUGCUCUGUGCAAUCUUUCGAUCGCAGUUUGCUUACAUUGCCUAUGCCUGCCUGGGCACCUUGCUGUUUUCCUUGUACCUGGUGUUUGAUACCCAGCUCAUCGUGGGUGGGAAACACAGAAAAUAUGAGGUCUCUCCUGAGGAGUAUGUGUUUGCUGCUCUCAGCCUCUACCUGGACAUUGUUGUCUUGUUCCUUUUCUUGCUGAAACUUAUCAAUAUCUGCCGCUGAUAGCUAGUUUUCCUGACGAUGCCUUUUCAUAAACUAAACUAAUACUCAAUAUAUGCUUGAGCAUAUGAGUAGAAUGACCAACUCAUUUUUGGCACGGGCCACAUUGUAGUUAUGGUUUCCCUUGGAGGGCCAUUAUGAAUUUUGGGAGACCAUAUACAUAUUUAAUCACCUCCACAUUACAUACACCACUCAUAACAUAUUGAUGGAUAACUACUUUUAAAAUCAGAAGUAAAAAAUAAUGAUUGUUCUUGUGGACUUCAUAUGACAUUUUGAGAUUUUGGUUCAGACUUUAGCAAGCCUCAUGGAAUUCGACAUGCUUUAUUUGCUUUUGCAGGCCACAUAAAAUGAUGUGGCAGGCCAAAUCCGGCCCCUGGGCCUUGACUUUGACACCUGUGGUGUAGUGGUAUACUCGCAUGACUUGUGUGGGAUCAGUUCCUGCUCAGUGAUGGUGUGAAUGUGAAUAUUUCUGGCUGCAAACAUGAUUUCGUUGUCGAGAGGUUCGACUGUAUCUCUCUUUGGUCAGAUUUUUUUUUAAAUU